rnacentral:rRNA from 1 species
CCUACGGGAGGCAGCAGUGAGGAAUAUUGGUCAAUGGGCGCGAGCCUGAACCAGCCAAGCAGCGUGAAGGAUGACUGCCCUACGGGUUGUAAACUUCUUUUAUCAAGGAAUAAAGUGAGCCACGUGUGCCUUUUUGCAAGUACUUUAUGAAUAAGGAUCGGCUAACUCCGUGCCAGCAGCCGCGGUAAUACGGAGGAUCCGAGCGUUAUCCGGAUUUAUUGGGUUUAAAGGGAGCGUAGAUGGGUUGUUAAGUCAGUUGUGAAAGUUUGCGGCUCAACCGUCAAAUUGCAAUUGAUACUGGCAGUCUUGAGUACAGUUGAGGUAGGCGGAAUUCGUGGUGUAGCGGUGAAAUGCUUAGAUAUCACGAAGAACUCCGAUUGCGAAGGCAGCUUACUAGACUGCCACUGACAUUGAUGCUCGAAAGUGUGGGUAUCAAACAGGAGUAGAUACCCGAGUAGUC